GGCAGUACAACUUUUAUGGGGGAAGAUGGAGGGUUGCCAGGUUUUAAUUUUGCCAUGUGAUGUUGUUGCAUAAAACCCAUCAUCCAUUUGCCCGUGAUUUCAUAAAUGAGAAGACAUUUGAAAAGCAAAAACAAAAAAAAGACUGGUUAAAACCUGGAGGUUUGAGAAACCCCUGAUCUUCUCCAUACUCUUCACAAGGGCAAUGGCUGGCCAAGAUUACAAAUUAGUGACUGUUGAGGCUGGAAUCUGUACCGAGGUCAUGGGAACCCCCUGCACUGCCCCUUCUAAUCACCCUCCUGCUUGGACCCUGGGAGUAUGACAAAGAGUCAGAUAAGACAACUGAGGCUGAAGAUCACACAACCAGUAAAUGGAACAGCCAGAAAUCAAAUGUUAUAUAUUGGCCCUGAAGUGGGGAUAAAGCAGCUAAAAGAAAGUGUACUUUACAUUAAAUUUUAAGAUUUAUGAGACAGGCAGAAAAAUCACAAAAAGGAAAAAAAGUCAGUUUGAAGUGUGAAAUCAAGUGAAUGAAGUAAGACAGAAGCAAUAAUCUCUACAACAAAAGAUGAGAACUUGCCUCCUCUAAAUCCCAUACACACAUGGCUAUUUGUUCCAAGCUUAUGUGGAUCAUCGCUAAUUUACAAACAGUGGGUGAUGUGCUAUAAAGAAAAUGACUCAUUGGCCCAUCUGUAAUUUAAAUAUGUGACAAAAUGUUUAAAUGUUUCAAACAAUGGUUAAUUAUUAGAGACUUAACAGUUUGAAAACAAGUGUGGAGCUUUUUUUUUUUUUUUUCUGUUUUUUUGGCUUCAUUUUGAACCAGCCCAAAUGGACAUCAGGUGUUUGACUCUUCCUGAGAUGCAGUACAUAAUCUUUAAUUGGACACCUUGUUGGAAAAUAAGGAGGAAAGUAUCCAUUUUUUUUUUUUAGAAUAGCCUGGCCAACAUUUAUGUACUGAAUGCUAAUAUGUAUAAUUGAAAAAAUAAAAAAUUCUAGGUCUUACUUAAGAUUUUCAUCUACCAUGAGAAGUCUUUCAUUCAUUUUCUUAGCACAAAGACAGCCCCACUCUCUAUACAUGAAUAUGUAAAAAUAAAACUUCAAAUUACUUUCA
ensembl:lncRNA novel transcript